rnacentral:lncRNA from 1 species
CUGUGUUUAUUUAAUUAGAAAUCAAAACUAAAACCUUGUUGCUUCCCAAGUGUGAACUACUUUAAAUAAAAAUGAAAAUCAAUUCUUCUCCUAGGUUCCAGCAUAAACAAAAGGAAAAACUUCUCCAGAAUUCUACAUUUCUUCACCGUGUGCUUCCAAAACUCUGAAUGUGACCAUGUGUGAUAAAACUCACCACCUGCACCUCCAGCCUUUAG